UGGGGAAUCUUCCGCAAUGGACGAAAGUCUGACGGAGCAACGCCGCGUGAGUGAUGACGGUCUUCGGAUUGUAAAGCUCUGUUAAUCGGGACGAAGGGUUCAUGUGCAAAUAGUGCAUAGACAUGAGGGUACCGGAAUAGAAAGCCACGGCUAACUACGUGCCAGCAGCCGCGGUAAUACGUAGGUGGCAAGCGUUGUCCGGAAUUAUUGGGCGUAAAGCGCGCGCAGGCGGACUAGCCAGUCAUUCUUAAAAGUUCGGGGCUUAACCCCGUGAUGGGAUUGAAACUACUAGUCUAGAGUAUCGGAGAGGAAAGUGGAAUUCCUAGUGUAGCGGUGAAAUGCGUAGAUAUUAGGAAGAACACCAGUGGCGAAGGCGACUUUCUGGACGAACACUGACGCUGAGGCGCGAAAGCCAGGGGAGCGAACGGG
rnacentral:rRNA from 1 species